rnacentral:rRNA from 1 species
GACAGAGGGUGCAACCGUUGUUCGGAAUUACUGGGCGUAAAGCGCGUGUAGGCGGUCUUGUAAGUCGGAUGUGAAAGCCCUGGGCUCAACCCAGGAAGUGCACUCGAUACUGCGAGGCUAGAGUAUCGGAGAGGUUGGUGGAAUUCUCGGUGUAGAGGUGAAAUUCGUAGAUAUCGAGAGGAACACCGGUGGCGAAGGCGGCCAACUGGACGAAUACUGACGCUGAGACUCGAAAGCGUGGGGAGCAAACAGG